rnacentral:rRNA from 1 species
GAUGAACGCUGACAGAAUGCUUAACACAUGCAAGUCAACUUGAACUUCGGUUUGGGUGGCGGACGGGUGAGUAACGCGUAAAGAACUUGCCUCACAGUUAGGGACAACAUUUGGAAACGAAUGCUAAUACCUGAUAUUAUGAUUUUAGGGCAUCCUAGAAUUAUGAAAGCUAUAUGCGCUGUGAGAGAGCUUUGCGUCCCAUUAGCUAGUUGGAGAGGUAACGGCUCACCAAGGCGAUGAUGGGUAGCCGGCCUGAGAGGGUGAACGGCCACAAGGGGACUGAGACACGGCCCUUACUCCUACGGGAGGAAGCAGGGGGAAAAAUUGGAAAAGGGAACAAGAGUUUGAUCCAGCAAUUCUUGGGGAACGAAGAAGUUUUUCGGAAUGAAAAGGGUUUUCAGUUGGGAAAAAAAAAAUGACGGUACCAACAGAAGAAGGGACGGCAAAAUACGU